rnacentral:ncRNA from 2 species
GAAUAUGUGGUUCGCAACCAUCCCACAUAAAAAAACUAGGAGGAU